CUCUAGCACGCCAACUGCAAAGGGCGUGGAGAGAAAGUACUUCGCCCCAUCUAGAGGGUUUGACUUCCUCUUUCUACAUCCUUCCCCCUGUUCGCUGGUGGUCUCAGCGGUGAACGAGAAAGAGCGGCAUGGCCAGCAAGCUCCUGCCCCCAAGGGCAAGGAAGAUAAGAGAUUGGACUUAUUCGGGAGGAAAGUCUAUUCAUCGGGAGGCCUUCAGCUGAGGAUCGUCACUCAGCAGGCGAUCCUAAACAGGCACAAUUUCAAUUCCUGGGCAUCAGUCGCCAAGUUUAAGGACUCCCUCCCACCUGACGCUCAUCAGGAGUUCACGGCCCUGGUAGAGGAAGGAAUGGCAGUGGCCAAGACCUCUUUACAGGCCGCUCUAGACUCAGCCGACGCUGCGGCCAGAACAAUUGCGUCGGGAGUCGUGAUGCGGCGUUCGGCGUGGUUGCAGGCUUCAGGUCUCCCGCCGGAGGUACAGACCACGCUGCAGGACCUCCCGUUUGAAGGUUCGGGCUUGUUUUCCGACCAGACGGACGCCAGGCUGCACAGCCUUAAGGACUCACGAGCGACCCUUAAGUCACUGGGUAUGCAUACGCCGGUGACGCAGCGUAAGCCCUUCAAGCCCCAGCCGCCGCAAAGGCAUUACCACCCUCGGCCCCGACACGAGCCUUACCGCCGUCGAGGCAGGGAUAAUAGGCGGAGACGAAACAAUACGCCUAACCAGGGCCAGAAUCAUGGCCACGGCAAGCCACAGCCGGGAAAUAAACCAGGCUUUUGAAGCUACGCCCGAGGACAGCGUACCACUUCAUAUACCGGAUCCUCCUUUGGGUUUCAAGGACCGUCUGUCCCAUUUCUACCGGGCCUGGUCGCGCAUAACAUCGGACCGCUGGGUCCUGCGCACAGUGAAGGCGGGUUAUACCCUCCAGUUUUCCUCGCCCCCUCCCUGCCAUCCCCCUUCCCCGUCCCUCUUCAGGGACCCUUCUCACGAGCAACUCCUCGUACAGGAGGUACAGACCCUUCUCUCUGCAGGAGCAGUAGAAGAGGUCCCUCUGGACCUAAGGGGAAAAGGAUUCUAUUCCAGAUACUUCCUGAUUCCCAAGGCAAAAGGGGGCCUCUGUCCUAUCUUGGACCUGCGCGAUCUAAACAGGUUCCUGAUCAAAGCGCGCUUCCGUAUGGUCUCCCUUGGAACUAUUAUCCCAUCCCUGGAUCCGGGGGAUUGGUAUGCUGCCCUCGAUAUGAAAGAUGCCUAUUUUCACAUCGCAAUCAAUCCGGCCCACAGGCGGUUUCUGCGCUUCAUUGUCGGCCAGCGCCAUUUCCAAUUUACGGUCCUGCCCUUCGGCCUGGCGUCAGCACCACGGGUGUUCAUGAAGUGCAUGUCCGUGGUAGCAGCCUUCCUUCGAAAAAGAAGGAUGCGUGUGUUCCUGUACCUGGACGAUUGGCUACUCGUGGGCAGGUCAGAGGCCGAAGUCCGAUCUCACGUAACGCUGGCCUUGCAGACGUUCGACAAGCUCGGCCUCCGGGUCAACGUACCGAAAUCCACGUUAGUCCCCACUCAGAGGCUGGACUUCAUAGGUGCUACCCUGGACUCGGUAACCGCGCGAGCGAGUUUACCAGAGGCACGGUUCAUGUCAAUUCACGGGGCCGUAAGCUCGGUCCAAAAAUUUCCCACGACAACAGCAAGAUGUUGCAUGCAACUUCUGGGGCAUAUGGCAGCUUGCACACACAUGGUCAGACAUGCCCGGCUGAGGCUUCGGCCUUUACAGUUGUGGUUCGCCCACACGCAUCGCCCCAACAGAGACCCAUUGGAUCAAGUAGUCACGAUCCCGAACCAGGUGCUCAGCUCGCUACGCUGGUGGCUCGAUCGCCAGCAGGUAUGCGAGGGGAUCCCCUUCGCUACCCUACAACCCACUCUGACGUUAGUGACAGACGCAUCAGACAUAGGUUGGGGGGCGCACCUGGGGGAACUGCGGACACAAGGGCUGUGGUCCAGAGAGGACAAGCUGCUUCACAUCAAUCUGAAGGAGCUAAGAGCGGUUCGCCUCGCCUGCCAGACCUUCCAUGCCUUCCUAAAAGGUCACAGCGUGGCAGUCCUGACGGACAACACUACCGCCAUGUUCUAUAUAAACAAGCAGGGCGGGUCCCGGUCUUCUCCCCUCUGUCACGAGGCUAUCCAAUUAUGGAACUUCUGUAUAGCCCAUGCGAUACACCUCAUCGCGACGUAUCUUCCAGGAAUUCAAAACGGCUUAGCGGACCGCCUCAGUCGAUCCUACCGAAUGCACGAAUGGACGCUGAGAGGAGACGUCCUGCAUUCGAUCUUCCGGAGGUGGGGUUUUCCCCGGGUGGAUCUGUUCGCCACCAGGGACAACAGCCAAUGCCCUCAGUUCUGCUCGUUCCAGAACCUCAGCCCGGGAUCAGUAGCGGAUGCCUUCAUGAUCCCAUGGGGAGGGAGCCUAAAAUAUGCCUUCCCUCCAUUUCCACUUAUACACAAGGUUCUUCUCAAGACCCGCAGGGACAGGGCAACGAUCAUUCUUAUUGCCCCGGCCUGGCCCCGCCAGCAUUGGUUCAUGUCCCUGCUGGAACUGUCCAUGACCGAUCCAAUCACCCUUCCCCUCCAUCGCGACCUAGUCACACAAGACAAAGGUCGCCUACUCCACCCGAACCUGUCUUCGCUUCAUCUCACGGCAUGGUAUCUCUCUGGCUGAACGAUGCAGAACAUAGGUGCUCUCACCAGGUUCAGCAAGUCGUCCUUAAUAGUAGGAAGCCCUCUACAAGGGCAACAUACCUGGCGAAGUGGAAAAGGUUCUCCCACUGGUGUGAGCCCCAACGCAUACAACCUUUACAGGCCUCAGUUCCGUCCAUCUUGGACUAUUUACUGCACCUCAAGAAUCAAGGGCUUGCGCCCGCCUCAAUUAGAGUUCACUUAGCCGCUAUUUCGGCUUUCCAUCCGGGAGAGUUGGGA
rnacentral:lncRNA from 1 species